rnacentral:snRNA from 1 species
AGCUUUGUGCAGUGACAGUAUCACAGCCAAUGAGGUUUAACUGAGGCGCGAUUAUUGCUAAUAGAAAGACAGAGGCCAAUAGCCACAUGAAGGGUAGGAUGCUUCAAAGUAAGACUGUUACUGGU